rnacentral:rRNA from 1 species
UAUGAUCCAGAGUACCACGGGACACGUGAAACCCUGUGGGAAGCAGGAGGGACCACCCUCCAAGGCUAAAUACUACCUAGUGACCGAUAGCGUAUAGUACCGUGAGGGAAAGGUGAAAAGAACCCCGGGAGGGGAGUGAAAUAGAACCUGAAACCCUGCACUUACAAGCUGUGGAAGCACAUUUCUUGUGUGACCGCGUACUUUUUGUAGAACGGGCCAACGAGUUACGUUAAGUAGCCAGGUUAAGCACUUAAGGUGCGGAGCCGUAGCGAAAGCGAGUUUUAACUGAGCGUUCAGUUACUUGACGUAGACCCGAAACCGGGCGACCUACCCAUGAGCAGGAUGAAGCGAAAGUAAAAUUUCGUGGAGGUCCGAACCCACGAGCGUUGAAAAGCUCGGGGAUGACUUGUGGGUAGCGGUGAAAUUCCAAUCGAGCCCGGAGAUAGCUGGUUCU